ACCAUAUCCUGAUAAAAUCUACUAUAAUUUUCAACCCCCACUUUUGUCCCUCUUCACAAUGCCUAAUCAGGCAAGAUUCCUAUUUUAGUCCCAGAUCCACUGGGUACUAACCACAAGAACAAAGAAAAAUCACUAAUAUUACAAAUCUCACCAAUAUCUGUACAAAAUUCGAAAACCUGGCUGUAGUAGUGUGUAACGUGGAAUUGCGACCAAAUGGACUACCACUGUUUGAUCCUCCUCUAUAUCCGGAUUGGUAGUCCAAAAUUUUGGAAAGUCCUGAUUUCCCCUCUUCGGCCUGCAGUUACAAUGACAAAACCCCAAGCAGACUUGGAUUGGUUUAAACCAUUGGAGAAGUCGACACUAGUAUCUACACUGACACGAGGGCUACGAUUUUUAGUAGCUAAAAGGAGUUUUUCCUCGGGCCAUGUUGCUGAGAAUUUAUCAAAGAAGUAGCUGUUCAUGGCACCACUUAAAGUCCCAUGAAGAGGACUGUUACUGCAGCCAGAUACCAGAGGUGAGCACUCGGUGCCAUUCUCUUCAAUGGGUGUAGGAGGAUGGUUGGCAGUGGAAACCUCAUCGAGAUGAUCAGCAUGCCCAUUUUGCUCCCCUAACGAGGAAUCGGGAAGUUUCAGAUUAUCAGAUAAGCCAGGCCAAGGUAUGGCCACUGAAACAUCUUGACAAUGGAAAUGCUCGUACGACUGUGUAAUGGUAACGCCUCUAUUCCUGCUUGGCCGAGAAUCACCUUCAUGUUUCCAGAUAUAGACAUGUGAGUCCUCACUGGCACAGACCACAUAUCUACCAUCA
rnacentral:misc_RNA from 1 species